GUUCCCUUGACCACUUCAUUAGGAAUUAAUUACUUCAUUUUUAAUGUCCUACUGAAGUGUUUGGGGGAACUC
rnacentral:pre_miRNA from 1 species